AUGAACGCUGGCGGCGUGCCUAAUACAUGCAAGUCGAGCGAACGGACGAGAAGCUUGCUUCUCUGAUGUUAGCGGCGGACGGGUGAGUAACACGUGGAUAACCUACCUAUAAGACUGGGAUAACUUCGGGAAACCGGAGCUAAUACCGGAUAAUAUUUUGAACCGCAUGGUUCAAAAGUGAAAGACGGUCUUGCUGUCACUUAUAGAUGGAUCCGCGCUGCAUUAGCUAGUUGGUAAGGUAACGGCUUACCAAGGCAACGAUGCAUAGCCGACCUGAGAGGGUGAUCGGCCACACUGGAACUGAGACACGGUCCAGACUCCUACGGGAGGCAGCAGUAGGGAAUCUUCCGCAAUGGGCGAAAGCCCGACGGAGCAACGCCGCGUGAGUGAUGAAGGUCUUCGGAUCGUAAAACUCUGUUAUUAGGGAAGAACAUAUGUGUAAGUAACUGUGCACAUCUUGACGGUACCUAAUCAGAAAGCCACGGCUAACUACGUG
rnacentral:rRNA from 1 species